UACAAAUUGUGCCUAGCAGAGCUCCUCUCCAAAUAAUUGACAAAUAUAACUUGGUGAAAUUGGAUACAGAGGAAAAGUUAUUUAAUCUAUCUUUUGCUCUCAGUUCCCUUCCUCCCUCUGGAGCGGCCUUCGGGUGCUCGCUCUAGACUCUCCUCCCUCAUUCCUCUGGAGCGGCCUUCGGGUGCUCGCUCUAGACUCUCCUCCCUCCUUCCUCUGGAGCGGCCUUCGGGUGCUCGCUCUAGAACUCCCACCCCUCCCCCCUCUUCGCCCCUCUCGACCAUAUUCUGCACUACCCUCCCCUCCUCCUGCCCAACAGAGGGCUGGCAAGAAACACCCUAAGGGGAACAAGGUGUGUGGCCAAGAGCAUCAGGGAUACUUCUCUGGACCUGUGUACGCCGUGGCAUCCAGCCCAGAAUACAGCCUCUCCAGCACCAGCCCCGAAGGGCACCCGAUCUGACUAUGCGGCGAGGGAUUUUAAAAUCCUCCUCCGGAUGCUGCAGGAGAGGGAGUGUAACGUAGUGGUGAUGCUGCUGCCCCCUGUGCCACGCUUCCAGCCGGGCAGCAGGCAGGAGCUGUACCGCGAGUGGCUCAACUGCCACAUGCAGAGCACCGCAGAAAGCAUGAACAUCCGCGUAAUUAACGCAGACACGAUUUUUCGUAGAUGGGAUGGUUCCGUGAAGUCGGAGUUUUUUGAGAGGUUCAUGGGUGCUGAAAGGAGACCCGACAACAUUCACUGGAACGAAAAAGGGAUGAAGGCACUUGUGCAUUUCCUGAAGAAAUGUUUGUAAAUACAAGCGGACCUACAAUUAUAUAUAACCUUUUUUGAAGGCGUGGUAUUUUUAAGUGAAAACAAUUACACGAAUAAUAUGAGUAACUUAUUUAAGAUUAAAUCUGAAUUCAGUAAUAGGGAAAGGAUUUAUAGCACCAAAUUUUAUAUAAAUAAUGUUUAAUUUUUAAUUUUUUUUUAAUUUGCAAUAGGUAAAUAUUUAAAAUGAAAACAAUUGAGAAAAAAAAGUGUAAUGAAAUAUAUGAACUAAACAAAUAAAUUUGUAGGUUAGAAUUUUUUGUUAAUGAACGUGCGAGUAAAUUUGGUAGGAACUCAUGUAAAAUACUCACUGCAAUACCAUACUGUAUUUGCUUAAUGUAUGGUUCUUUAAAUAUACUUCAAAAAAUUUUACGCACUAUUUACAUCUUUAUGUAAUAUUUAAAUUAGCACGUAUAUUUACAGUGCGUUUUCAGGGCGUUUGGAAUGUCUAAUUCAGAAGGCAGAAACCUCAAAUCUUUAAGUGUGCAGCCAAAUUUUUUUUCCAAGUCUAGCAAGUAACACACAAUCUCAAGUCAACUCUUUCCCUAAGAAAAAUUUCCUUCCCAGCUUGACUCUUACUUUGUAGAAUAGUUGUAGGAACAUUAGAAGUUCUACUUGACUACAAAAUUCACAUCUUGCAUUCACGAACCACUUGCUGUGUGUGUGCUGUGUGCGUCAGAUUUUAACCUCGCGUUCUUUUUUCAUAUUUGUUCUUGGUUCUAGUCAUGUUAAAAACAGGUCAAGAAAAAUAAAUCAACCAACUUCACCCUCUUGAUGUGAUAUUGAAACACAUUUUCCUGUUAUAAUAUUUUUCUGAUAUUAAUCGCAAUAGAAUUUGAUAUUUUGCUAUUCAUUCAAGUCAAUAACUUUUUCAGCCAUCAAAUUUAUUAAAAACUUUGCUACAACUUCAUGGUCUAAAAACAGGUUACUAUUGUUUGUCAAAAAAUGAGCUAGCCUGAUUAGCGACUGAUAAUACGAGAGGUGCCUUGUGUGUCUAGUAACUAGGGCCAGCAUUCCUAAAGAUGAUGGAAUCCAAUAGUAAUGUCACACGUGUUCUAGGCGAUUAACAAUAAACAAAGCAAGGCAGCUGUUUACGACCUCAGAUGUCUUUCUUAGGAAUUUUGGUUCAAAGAUUAAUUUCAAGUAUUCUGUAAACUGGUGUCAUAAACAGUAAUGCUGAUGAAAUAUUUUUACUGACGUCCGUAUAUGAACGUAUUUCUUCGUAAUAGAGAAUGACAAUUGCGCUGUCUGGAUGGUAUCAAUGUGUGGGUUUUGAAAUAAAACAACCAAAUUGAAAUAAUUUCUACGUUAUAGGAAAUUAUACGUUAUAUCGAAAGACGUUAUAAAGAGUUUACACUGUAGUAGAAACAUGUGUCCAUCUAGUCAUCAUAAUUAUUUACUUACACUCUUUAUUUAUUAAUUAAAGUGUAUCUCCUCUGCGGGUUGCGAUUUGCUAGUAGUCCUGUCUCGAAUGUCGAUGCCUCUGGUGCUGAAACAGCUUGGUUUAAUAUAGAUUUAUCGUAAAUUUAUUGCUAAAAUUAUUCGUUGAGUUUUCUUCUUAUAAUAUAUUCUUCGAUAAUUAUAUUUUAUACAAAUUCAAUAUUCUCAAUGUAAAGUUCCGUUCAUCUAUUACGGGAGCAAUGCCAAAACACGUCAGCUCGCUUGGGAGGAUUUUAUUCUUCUCCUAUAAUUUUUUUACAGAAAUUAUUUAUCGUUGCUACUAACAACUGAAAAUAGUCCUCUGAAAAACAUAUGCUGGUCUCUCUAAUAUUCAGCUUCAUGCGUUCCCUGACCAAUCACAACAAUCGUUUUAAAUUUCAAUGGGUUUUAAAAAUCCAUUAAAAGAUUGCCUUAAUUGAUGGAUACUCGCUGAAAGUCUACAUUUAUUAAUUCAACGACGUCACAAUUAUUGAUCCAUGAAUUCAUUUCAAAUGAUAAAUUUUAAAGUAAUUUUUACUUAUGUAUAAAUUGUAACUAAACUUUUCAUUGGCUGCCUCAACAUAUCACAAAUAAACCCAUAGAUAACAUGCCAGUAUUGUACAUAAUAAAUAACAAAAAAAAAGGAAGUAUGAUUUUGACAUAGCAAAGAGAAUUAGUAUUUUUCCCUUCAGUUCAAGAAAAUGUCACUAUCUGUAAAGGCGUUACUUUACCCUUUACAUUGGGGCAGUUCAUUAGCACAUUGAUUUUCAUGUGAACUGUAAAGUAGCCAAAUGUUUGUAGGUACCUAUUUUAAAUUUCAUAACUUUUAUGGAGAUUCUAUUCUGUGGCUUUCUACAUGUAAACUAUGUACAAUAAAUAUCCCUGUACAGUCGGUCAUCUCGUUCGUUCAAAUAAAAUUGAUAAGAUUUCAGUAAUAUUUUCUUAGUACAAGAGCCAAAUUGCUACAUGCAAGUGGUGUCACAAUAAAUGGACUUGUGAUCAGAAUUUCACAUAAAUUGACAUGCAAACUAAACUUAUUUGAUAGUGUAAAAAUAGGGUAGGUGUAAAUAUAAAUGACUGUUGGGGUUUGUUCAACGGUACUAGCGACAUAAACGUUAAAUAAGUAAAGUCAUUUCAUUUGAUCUGAUAUGCAUAUGUUAUUUUCAUAACCGAAACAAAUAUAGAGAUCCCCAAACCUUUGGGGCAAAUGUAGUCACAGCUCCUUAAUCAUAUCUGCGACGUGUGCUAUAGAGUAUCUCGGAAGGUAUAAUACCUGAAUAAAUUUCUUUUACGAUUACAACUCCCCCACUUCAACUAACACAUUUCAAUUUUUAAUAACGCACUAGCUUAUUCAGUUUUAUAAUAUUGUAGCCUAUAUGAUAUUAAUAUUUCAUCAAUUUUAUUAAUGUGAAUGAAGGUAUUUAAGAAAUAAAUACAUAUGUAUAUUUUAGUGUUUACGCUCACAUUCACUAAGAUGAUGAAAUAUACAAAAAUUGCGAAUGUACAAUAAAUUAUGAGCGUAUCUAUAAUAAAGAAAUGCUUUAGUGAGCAGAAUAUAAGGUGAACUAUUUGCAGUAAUACUCGCAGCAACGUGCUUGAAAAAGUAAGCCAUAAAUUGCACCAUUAUUAAACAUCUUAUGCUACAUUGCAAAAAAGUGCUUUAAUAUCUUUCACACUUGGGGUUGACUAAAUUUGGAAUAAAAUAUUCUAUUUACACAUUGAUAUCACGUUCCUUAAACCGUACAAGCACAUUUGUUGAAAUGCAGCAUGUACUUUGGCUGGUGUACAAUAAAUUAACAGCAUCUUUCAUGUACUUUCUUUUAAUAAUUCUUGGGAAUUUUUUUCCAGAACUAAUUGAUAUGUUCUCACCCCUUAUAUACAGGUAAAGAGAUGCUGGCCCGUUACCAUCACAUACAAGGUCUCAAUAUUAUUUAAACAAUAUUAUUAUAAUGUAUUGUUAUUGUGGUGACUAGCGAAUGAAUGCAGCAGAUUCCAACUCUUCAGAAUUGUUUCCAGUAGACGCAGCGUCGCACUGCGUGGCCGCGACUGGUUGAUAAUCGCUGGCUCCUCUGUGACAUUGUGGGCAUUGGUGAAUCAAGCUUGUCGUGAAUGUGCAGUGCGCUUACAAACUGACUCCCCUGCAGCAGCUCGUGCGCAGGUCGUCACUGGAUUCUGAUGUACUUUGUAAUAAUUCAUAUUGUUUCUGAACCACAACAGUUGAUAAGCUACGAUCCUCAAUCAAAAAAGGUAAAUUUGAAAUGUGUCGUAACUUUAUCCUUGAGCCUCAUUUAGAAAAUGUUAACAUACCCACCUUUCAUUAUUACUUUUUUUUACGCAAUCCCGUAUAACACUGCAAGUGAUAAAAAAUCUUCCAAUGUAUGAACUUCCCAAUUACAUACAUAUUGAUAAUGCCGAAUGAGGACUUUAAAUAUACACACAUGAAUACUUGCACAUAUAUGUAUAGUAAUUGAAAGAAAAUGUUUGUUUCAAUGUCUCCCCUGUGAAUAAUAAAUGUAUUAUAUGAUUAAAUAUCCGUGUUCUUUGUGGAUUUAACUAGGAAAACCUGCAUAAUUUGUAAUUAUUUAGGUAGGUAUAAAAAAGUACAAUUUAUCUUAAAAUCUUAUGAAUUGUCAUACCUCUAAUGUUAAAUUUUACUCUUGUACAGAUUGCACAUUGUAUCUAAGUAACAUAAUUGAGAUGUCACAGUUAUGCUAAUUAAUACUUAUUAAUUUGUUUCGACAAUGUGUUUUCGAUUCCUUUGACUUCUUGCAAAUGUGUUAUACAUAAAUUAUUACUACAGAGACGUCCCUGAUUAGGUUACCUUGGAAAAGUUCUGACGUCAGCGUGUAUGGUUGUGUUAGUGAAACUUUAAUAAAAUAUUGUAUAUUAAACAAGUGCAUGACAUGGUG